UCUACACCGGGGUAUGAAAAUGUAGACCUA
rnacentral:piRNA from 1 species